rnacentral:rRNA from 1 species
UACAGAGGUCUCAAGCGUUGUUCGGAUUCAUUGGGCGUAAAGGGUGCGUAGGCGGCGCGGUAAGUCGGGUGUGAAAUCUCGGAGCUUAACUCCGAAACUGCAUUCGAUACUGCCGUGCUUGAGGACUGGAGAGGAGACUGGAAUUUACGGUGUAGCGGUGAAAUGCGUAGAUAUCGUAAGGAAGACCAGUGGCGAAGGCGGGUCUCUGGACAGUU